rnacentral:rRNA from 1 species
UACGAAGGGGGCUAGCGUUGCUCGGAAUCACUGGGCGUAAAGGGUGCGUAGGCGGGUUUUUAAGUCAGGGGUGAAAUCCUGGAGCUCAACUCCAGAACUGCCUUUGAUACUGAGGAUCUUGAGUCCGGGAGAGGUGAGUGGAACUGCGAGUGUAGAGGUGAAAUUCGUAGAUAUUGGGAAGAACACCAGUGGCGAAGGCGGCUAACUGGUCCGAUACUGACGCUGAGGUGCGAAAGCGUGGGGAGCAAACAGG